GGCGAGUGGCGAACGGGUGAGUAAUACAUCGGAACGUGCCCUGUAGUGGGGGAUAACUAGUCGAAAGAUUAGCUAAUACCGCAUACGACCUGAGGGUGAAAGUGGGGGACCGCAAGGCCUCAUGCUAUAGGAGCGGCCGAUGUCUGAUUAGCUAGUUGGUGGGGUAAAGGCCUACCAAGGCGACGAUCAGUAGCUGGUCUGAGAGGACGAUCAGCCACACUGGGACUGAGACACGGCCCAGACUCCUACGGGAGGCAGCAGUGGGGAAUUUUGGACAAUGGGCGAAAGCCUGAUCCAGCAAUGCCGCGUGUGUGAAGAAGGCCUUCGGGUUGUAAAGCACUUUUGUCCGGAAAGAAAUGGCUCUGGUUAAUACCCGGAGUUGAUGACGGUACCGGAAGAAUAAGGACCGGCUAACUACGUGCCAGCAGCCGCGGUAAUACGUAGGGUCCAAGCGUUAAUCGGAAUUACUGGGCGUAAAGCGUGCGCAGGCGGUUGUGCAAGACCGAUGUGAAAUCCCCGGGCUUAACCUGGGAAUUGCAUUGGUGACUGCACGGCUAGAGUGUGUCAGAGGGAGGUAGAAUUCCACGUGUAGCAGUGAAAUGCGUAGAGAUGUGGAGGAAUACCGAUGGCGAAGGCAGCCUCCUGGGAUAACACUGACGCUCAUGCACGAAAGCGUGGGGAGCAAACAGGAUUAGAUACCCUGGUAGUCCACGCCCUAAACGAUGUCAACUAGUUGUUGG
rnacentral:rRNA from 2 species